GUGCUCCUUGGGCGCUCAGACAACACAGUAACAAGCGCUAGAAUAUUCAAGAAGAAGACAACAGUUUAUCAUAUUUGUACAACGACUGGAAAUUUCAACUCCAUUAUUGUAUCUACUACUCUCCGGGGUUUCAUUUUUGACUCAUUUUUCCCGGAAAAUUCGUAUCGUCGUGUCGAUAGAUGAUUGUUCACUUCCUCAAAUGACUGCAGGCUCACAAAGUUGGUUCUCUUCCGAGAAAGCAAGUCAUGGCUUCCUAGCACAUAUGCAACCAUGUUUAGCUACAAUUUAGCUGCUGUAAUCAAAGUAUUAUGCAAACAUGCACGAUGCAUUUGAACAUGCAGUUAUCCUUGAGAAGUUGCCUUUACAAAUAGAGUGCAUCGCUACAUUUGGUGACAAUCUCCUUGUUGGAACAAGGCAAGGGCACUUGCUGCUGUACAGUGUUAAGGAUGGCACAGGAGAUAACAGAUUUGAGGUGGAGCUACGUAGCUCAAACAAGCUAUUCUCAAAGAAGCCUAUU